UGGGGAAUUUUGGACAAUGGGCGCAAGCCUGAUCCAGCCAUACCGCGUGAGUGAAGAAGGCCUUCGGGUUGUAAAGCUCUUUCAGACGGAAAGAAACGGUUACGGCUAAUACCCGUGACUAAUGACGGUACCGUAAGAAGAAGCACCGGCUAACUACGUGCCAGCAGCCGCGGUAAUACGUAGGGUGCGAGCGUUAAUCGGAAUUACUGGGCGUAAAGCGUGCGCAGGCGGUUUGGUAAGACAGAUGUGAAAUCCCCGGGCUUAACCUGGGAACUGCAUUUGUGACUGCCAGACUAGAGUGUAGCAGAGGGGGGUAGAAUUCCACGUGUAGCAGUGAAAUGCGUAGAUAUGUGGAGGAAUACCGAUGGCGAAGGCAGCCCCCUGGGCUAACACUGACGCUCAUGCACGAAAGCGUGGGGAGCAAACAGGAUUAGAUACCCACGUAGUCCCUGAGCGGGCUGGCAAGGCGCAU
rnacentral:rRNA from 1 species